rnacentral:antisense_RNA from 2 species
GUUAAUGACAGGCUUGUUGGGGCUGCGAAAGCAGGCCGGUUACCUUUUACCGGUGGUGAUAACCCUGACAAGCCUGUCGCCAAU